rnacentral:piRNA from 1 species
UAAGAUCCAAGCAAGUGGUUCAAAAUGC